GAAUCAUUUAUAACGGAUACUAUCAUAUGACUGUAAUACGAAUAUCUAGAGGUAGUGUGUUUAAAUAAAAGAUUAAGUAAACAUUGUGUGGUUUAAGUCAUUGAAUAACGGCUUCUUUCAUUGACAACAAGCAUAUAUAUUUCAAUGUUUUGAUUUUGACUGAAAUAAAAGCCGGACAUAGCGUUUGAAAACAAUUUAUCAAAAUGAUAAGAAUAUGUUAGAAUGAUCUUAUAUCUAUAGUUUUAAAACAGACGUUACAUGGAGAAAAUGAAAUAAACAUUAAAAGUGAUAUUAAAUUUAUAUGGUUGUUUUGUUUUCUCAUGGAAAUAUAAAAGCGUUGUAAAAGACACCCUUUUCAAGAAGAUGGCUUGCAGACUUUAUCAUUCUGUGUAUUUACCUUUUUAUGCAAUUGUCCUUACAUCGACACACGACAACUUUCGCCAGUGUGAAAACUGGUUUAACUGCGCAUCUUACCAAGGUUUAAAAUCAAAAAGUGUGAAAUAUGAUCAAACAUACUUUCUCGGAAAAACAUAAGCUAGACGUUCGCAAAGAAACUGACCUACUCAAGCCAUCAACAUUUGAGGACCUUGUGUUCAAAUAACGUAUCUCUGUUGUAGGUGUCUAGGAACGAGUUAUCAAUGGAAAAAACAGAUGUAAAACAUUCUACUUAUGAAAAGCAAGUUACUACUGGCAAACUGCAUUCGGAAAAUCUUGAUCAGAAACACAAUAUCAAGAGAAGAAAACUUGAGCGUCCAGUUAAGAAUAAAAAUGCUAUUGCAAGGACAAAGUGUAAACUGUGCGGGACAUUGUUUUCAGCUUCUCAAAUGUGUUGUGAGUCAAAGCAAACAAAGCGAGAUAGUGAUGAAGAGGAGAGUGAAACAGUAUCAAGAAGAAGUCAAAAUUCUUUCCCACUGUGUUAUGCCGACUUACGUCAACCGUUCAGAAAUGCGGAGAAUGUACACAUAACAUAUGAAGAUACACCCGAAGAAAAAUUUGCUUAUUUCCCUCAGUAUACUGACGAUAAAUGGAAAGAUUUAAAAUUCAAUCCUCAUUACGACUUAGAGCAAACAAAGCGAGAAAGUGAUGAAAAUGAAAGUGAUAAAGUGUCACGACGUAGUCAGAGGUUUUGCCAAAAGGGUAGUGUCGACUUAUACCAGCUGUUGAAGAAUGCGGAAAAUGAUUAUAGAAUAUCUGAAGAUACAACCGAAGAAAUGUUCGCUAACAAAUCCGCUCAAUAUACGGACAAUAAAGGAAAAGGUUUAAAAUUCCAACCUUAUUAUACGUCAAAGCAAAGGAACCAAGACAGUUAUGAGAUUGAGAGCGAUAAUGUGUCUCGAAGAAGUCAAAACGUUUGUCCGAAGGGUAAUGCCGACUUAUGUCAACUGCUGAGCAAGGCGGAAAAAAAUUAUAGAACAUAUGAAGAUACUACCGUAGAUUCUCUUACCUACCAAUUCCCUCAGUAUAACGACGAUGAACGAAAAGAUUUAAAAUUUCGAUUUUAUUAUGAUAAACCAUUUUUUCCAACGUAAUGAUUAUUAAACCAUAAUAAAAACCUUUUCAAAACUUAGUGAUAAGAAAUGAUUAAAAUGAUCUAGUAAUCCGUAGAACUUUUAUAUUUUCUCAAAAAGAAAAAAAAAACAGAACGAUAAUUCAUUUUAAAGACCUCUCAAUGUUCAACAUACCAUCAUGAGAACGUUCUGGAUUAGUGCAUACUACUUACAAUAACUGAAUUAGAUUUAUAUCCCUCAUGUCAUCAAAUGGUGGCUCUGUCUAAAUUAUGUUACUCAGAAAUGUUGAAUUCAGAAACGUUGAAACGUUCGGAACAUGACAACAAGGGCAAUGUAUUGUUCUGGAAAUAUGAGUUAGUCAUUUUCACCGUAGCUUCUCUUAAUGAGUGUGAGCAUCGUGAAAAGAUACUUUUAUCAUUGCAUACACUACUUCAGUACCGAUCAGAUUUUGUUGCUAUUCAUAAUUUAUAUUUGUUUUAAAAUAUUUUGUGAUAACAGAUUAAUUGAUCCCUACAUUAGAAAAUCUAGUAGGUUCGAGAACUUUUAAUAGGAGUAGAAUGUAAAUUGUCUACGUUCCUACUAAGACCGGUGGCUUUGCCACUGAUAAGUGUACAUAACUAAAAGGGACAAAAAUACUAUUGAUAUAGUAAAGAUAUAUUGCCAACAAAAUUGGAGGAAUGAAAUAUGACUCUAUUGUAUGACAUUGUAUUUUAAACCGUAGUGAUCUGAUUGAUAUAGAGCAAUUAUCUGUAAACAUUUCAGUGUGAUAUGUAAAUUAUAUUGUUCAUAUGUUAUGUUGUUUUGGUUAAUUCAUGUAAACUUAAAUCUGAGAACAUGUUCAACUAAAAAGAAUCAGAUCCUUAUUUGAAAUGUAUGCUAAAUUAUCUUUUCAUUAUAGUUUCAAGAUUCAUAUUUCCAUUUGAUAUACAUCGGAAUUAUUUAACGAACUGAACAAAGAUUUAAAAACGUUUGUACACCUUGAGAUAUUCCAUGAAGCAAGGCCGGGAAAUAAGACAUAAUUAUUGUUUUAUAAACUUCAUUAUCUAUUGAAUAUCUGCAAAACACAAUUUACGACUUUAGAAAAUUGUAUUUGCAUUAAAUUUCAUAGAAUAAAUGAGAAUAGAAACAGUUAUUCAAUUUGUUUUUGUGGAUAAGAAUGAAAUCAGUAUGAAAUGCAUAAAUCUUGCAAAUUCACAUUUCUUCAAAAGGAUCAUUUUACAUGCGAAAUUUUCUUGAUAUAGUACAAAUGUACAGUAUAUAGAAUUUAGAAGUCUGGAAUGAAAUAGUUCUCUUGCUAACAGUUUAUUUUGUCAUACAACUAUACGAGAUUCUACCUAACAAUGCUUAAUUGCCUGACCUACUGCAUUGGGCGCAUACAUGUUUCACAAUCAACUAUUGAAAUAUAUUAGAUAUCUAUAAGCUAUAUAUAUUAUGUACUUUUAUAUUUCUUCAACAUUUUAAAUUGGUUAUUUUAACUGUCAGUUACAGUUUGACUUAGUUCUGGUGUAUGUAUAUCUAUUAAUUAAAGACAUUCUAACGGUGUACCUGAGACGCACACAUGAGUGAACUUAUAAAUAUCAUUUUUGUUUGUAUACUGGUCAGAGACCACCAAUUCAAAAAUGUACAGGGAACUUAUUGGGAAUGAGGUAAGUGUAUACCUGGGAAUAGUGAAACGUCUGGUUUCAGAACUCUGCACAUCGUCUCAUCACCACAUACCCACAUCCCAAGUUUGAAGUCGAUACCUUAAAUGGUAAAUACAUUUUUUCCGGACAUGAAAUUAAACUUACAAAGUUCAUCUUUGAGCUCAAUUUGUGACCUUGACCUAUGAUCUUCAGAGCCGGUUUAAGUGCUCUGUACAUUGUCCCCACCUACGAACAUGCCAAGUUUGAAGUCAAAACCUUGCAUGGUUAUUUAGCUAUGCUCCGAACACGAAAUGUUAUGGUCAGUUUUGACCUUUUAGCGCUGUUUUUGACCUACAGAGCCGUUACAAGUGCUCUGCACAUCAUCUCAUCGCCAUCUUCCUAUAUGCCAAGUCUAAAGUCAAUACCAUUAAUGUUUAUAAAGUUAUGCUCCGGAAAUUAAUUAUGACGGACGGACG
rnacentral:lncRNA from 1 species